GUGAGUUGGUGUACGAUUACUGUUACGGCAGAGGAAACUCCUCCCUUCAUACAGGAUGUACGAUCUGGAGAUAGAUAAUCAGAGAUGAUUGGAACCAGUAUAGAAAAAAUCCGAACUAUCAUGAACUGUGAUGAUGUGAGAAUCUGAGGUUGUUAGUAGUGGAAUGGAAAAACUGUCCCGUACGAAGCAAGGCCAAACAAAACUAUAAGCUCCUGUACUUGGUUUAGGUAGGCUGCAAAGUUGAAUAUCGUAAAAACAGAAGGAGGGUUAUUACCAACACAC
rnacentral:RNase_P_RNA from 1 species